rnacentral:rRNA from 1 species
AAAGAAAAUUCGAUUCCCUUAGUAGCGGCGAGCGAAACGGGAAGAGCCCAAACCAACAAGCUUGCUUGUUGGGGUUGUAGGACACUCUAUACGGAGUUACAAAGGACGACAUUAGACGAAUCAUCUGGAAAGAUGAAUCAAAGAAGGUAAUAAUCCUGUAGUCGAAAAUGUUGUCUCUCUUGAGUGGAUCCUGAGUACGACGGAACACGUGAAAUUCCGUCGGAAUCUGGGAGGACCAUCUCCUAAGGCUAAAUACUCUCUAGUGACCGAUAGUGAACCAGUACCGUGAGGGAAAGGUGAAAAGCACCCCGGAAGGGGAGUGAAAUAGAACCUGAAACCGUGUGCUUACAAGUAGUCAGAGCCCGUUAAUGGGUGAUGGCGUGCCUUUUGUAGAAUGAACCGGCGAGUUACGAUUUGAUGCAAGGUUAAGCAGUAAAUGUGGAGCCGUAGCGAAAGCGAGUCUGAAUAGGGCGUUUAGUAUUUGGUCGUAGACCCGAAACCAGGUGAUCUACCCUUGGUCAGGUUGAAGUUCAGGUAACACUGAAUGGAGGACCGAACCGACUUACGUUGAAAAGUGAGCGGAUGAACUGAGGGUAGCGGAGAAAUUCCAAUCGAACCUGGAGAUAGCUGGUUCUCUCCGAAAUAGCUUUAGGGCUAGCCUCAAGUGAUGAUUAUUGGAGGUAGAGCACUGUUUGGACGAGGGGCCCCUCUCGGGUUACCGAAUUCAGACAAACUCCGAAUGCCAAUUAAUUUAACUUGGGAGUCAGAACAUGGGUGAUAAGGUCCGUGUUCGAAAGGGAAACAGCCCAGACCACCAGCUAAGGUCCCAAAAUAUAUGUUAAGUGGAAAAGGAUGUGGCGUUGCCCAGACAACUAGGAUGUUGGCUUAGAAGCAGCCAUCAUUUAAAGAGUGCGUAAUAGCUCACUAGUCGAGUGACACUGCGCCGAAAAUGUACCGGGGCUAAACAUAUUACCGAAGCUGUGGAUUGUCCUUUGGACAAUGGUAGGAGAGCGUUCUAAGGGCGUUGAAGCAUGAUCGUAAGGACAUGUGGAGCGCUUAGAAGUGAGAAUGCCGGUGUGAGUAGCGAAAGACGGGUGAGAAUCCCGUCCACCGAUUGACUAAGGUUUCCAGAGGAAGGCUCGUCCGCUCUGGGUUAGUCGGGUCCUAAGCUGAGGCCGACAGGCGUAGGCGAUGGAUAACAGGUUGAUAUUCCUGUACCACCUAUAAUCGUUUUA